CCCUUAGAUGUUCUGGGCUGCACGCGCGCUACACUGAUGCGAUCAACAAGUUUUUCCUAUGUCGAUAGACACGGGUAAUCUUUUGAACUCGCAUCGUGAUGGGGAUAGAUUAUUGUAAUUAUUAAUCUUCAACGAGGAAUUCCUAGUAGGUGCAAAUCAUCAGUUUGCAUCGAUUACGUCCCUGCCCUUUGUACACACCGCCCGUCGCUGCUACCGAUUGGUUGAUCUGGGGAAUUAUUCGGACUGCCGGCUGAAGGGGUUUCCUCAUCUGCCAGCGGAAAGUCUUGUUAACCCUAUCAACUAGAGGAAGCAGAAGUCGUAACA
rnacentral:rRNA from 1 species